AUCAGCUGCGCGCGUGUGCUUUUGGGGAGAGGGGUGAUGGAGGUUAAGGGAUAGGGAGUCACCCAGUCACAAAUCCGAGCGACCAUCAAAUGCUGCAUGGGCACUGAACACCAAAGCCGAAGAUCUGGCUGGGGCAUGUAUAGUCAUUUUCAUAGCUGCACUGGUACAUGAAGGCCUCAGGCUGCUGGUCAACUGGCUCCAGAUGUUUUCUGCUACACGUCCACCACGCAAGAUGGUCCGACUGGGGAUCCUGGGAUUGACUCAGACGGGAGCAUAUGUGGUGUACCUGUCCCUUAGCUACUGCUUGAUGCUGGUCUUCAUGACAAUGAACAUCUGGUUCUGUCUGGCACUGCUGCUUGGGGCUGGCACUGGUUAUCUGCUGUUCUUCUUUCACCCAGUGGCCAACCGGCUGUUAAACUCCCUCAGGCGUCAUCAAGACAAGUAUGAGGACAUGAAAUCGGAGGUGACGACGAUAUAUGGGUCAAAUGAGAAACAAGCUGAUAACAUUGCCCUAGGUAAUGUGGGCAGUUGUCACUGAAGCAGUAUACAUUUGUAAUUUUAACAUCUGUUCCUGGAAGUGACGUGAGCAAAGAAGCACCAGGUAACAACAGAAACAGUUUGAUAUUUUAAUUGCAUUUAUCUUUUGCUUUUUUCUCAUGUCUAGUUCACGGUAUUUGUCUUUUCCUCUUGUUUUGUUGGCUGCAUUGAAUGUUAAUCAGGUCGCUGGUAACAGCACCGGUCAACAAGUUUUUAGAAUAAUAAUGAUUGCUUAUAGAGCACUGUUCCCGAAUGGCUUCCAGUGCUUUACAAAAUAAAUAAGUAAAUAAUAAAAACUAUUGAUAAUAAAAA
rnacentral:misc_RNA from 1 species